rnacentral:rRNA from 1 species
GUGGGGAAUCUUGCGCAAUGGGCGAAAGCCUGACGCAGCCAUGCCGCGUGAAUGAUGAAGGUCUUAGGAUUGUAAAAUUCUUUCACCGGGGACGAUAAUGACGGUACCCGGAGAAGAAGCCCCGGCUAACUUCGUGCCAGCAGCCGCGGUAAUACGAAGGGGGCUAGCGUUGCUCGGCAUUACUGGGCGUAAAGGGCGCGUAGGCGGAUCGUUAAGUCAGGGGUGAAAUCCCAGAGCUCAACUCUGGAACUGCCCUUGAUACUGGCGAUCUUGAGUGUGAGAGAGGUAUGUGGAACUCCGAGUGUAGAGGUGAAAUUCGUAGAUAUUCGGAAGAACACCAGUGGCGAAGGCGACAUACUGGCUCAUUACUGACGCUGAGGCGCGAAAGCGUGGAGAGCAAACAGGAUUAGAAACCCUUGUAGUCC